rnacentral:rRNA from 1 species
UGAGGAAUAUUGGUCAAUGGGCGCGAGCCUGAACCAGCCAAGUCGCGUGAGGGAUGAAGGUUUAUGGAUCGUAAACCUCUUUUAUAAGGGAAUAAGUGCGGGACGUGUCCUGUUUUGUAUGUACCUUAUGAAUAAGGAUCGGCUAACUCCGUGCCAGCAGCCGCGGUAAUACGGAGGAUCCGAGCGUUAUCCGGAUUUAUUGGGUUUAAAGGGUGCGUAGGCGGCCUUUUAAGUCAGCGGUGAAAGUCUGUGGCUCAACCAUAGAAUUGCCGUUGAAACUGGGGGGCUUG